ACAUGUCUUCGCAAUCCCUGGAAACAGGGCCCUCUAAGGUAACUUAGACGAAGUCACAGCUGUUGCAUGGCUGUCGUCAGCUCGUGCCGUGAGGUGUUGGGUUAAGUCCCGCAACGAGCGCAACCCGCGUCCCAUGUUGCCAGCGAGUAAAGUCGGGCACUCUUGGGAGACUGCCCGGGUAACCGGGAGGAAGGAGCGGAUGACGUCAAGUCGGCAUGGCGCCUACGCCUGGGGCUUCACACAUGCUACAAUGGACGCAACAGAGGGUACCGAGACCGCGAGGUGGAGGCAAUCCCAGAAAUACGUCCCCAGUUCUGAUCGCAGGCUGCAACUCGCCUGCGUGAAGCCGGAAUCGCUAGUAACCGCAGAUCAGCUAAGCUGCGGUGAAUACGUUCCCGGGCCUUGUACACACCGCCCGUCAAGUCACCUGAGUUGUCUGCACCUGAAGUCCGUGGCUCAACCCGCAAGGGAGAGAGCGGCCGAGGGUGCGGGGAGCAAGGGGGACU
rnacentral:rRNA from 1 species